GGGGAUGACUAGUGACAGAGUGAGAGAGGGAGUGGGUGACUAGUGACAGAGUGAGGCAGGGGGUGACUAGUGACAGAGUGAAGGAGGUGGUGACUGUCACUAGUCACCUCAUCCCUCCCUCUGUCACUAAUCACAACCUCCCUCACUCUGUCACUUGUCACCCCCCUCUCUCUCUGUCACUAGUCACCCCCUCCCUCUCUCUGUCACUAGUCACACCGUCCCUCACUCUGUCACUAGAGUG